CAUUGAGACGAUAUUACUAGGAAAUUUUAUAAAACCAGUUACAAUAAAAUAUAUAACAAGUAUUUUUGAGGCAGUUAUUGGUACUUGUGCUUACUUUUUAUUUAAUACUUAUUUUGAUAAAAUGAGGUAACUGUAAUCUUUUGAUCUAAAAAAACUAGCAACUUUGUAGAAAUACUUUGAGUGCAACUGCAAGUCUAGAUAAAUGAUACUUAAAAUGAACCUGCCCAGUGUUUUGCUGUCGGAAGAGACGUGCUUUCUCCAAGGCUGAUUCCCUGGUCUCUUCCUCUCAGCAGCGCCCUAGGACCUGCGCGGCCGGUGUUCACACUCAGAAGCCUGUGCUUUCUGGGGCACCCUCACCUCCCAGCUGGACUAGAGGGAGUGCCGUGUGUUCUCAAGAGAAUGUACAAUUACAACCCCUAAACCACAUGAGAGCCUGUGUGUGUUUUUUAACAGGUGUUUCAACUCUGAGACAUCUUAAAAAUAUAACCAACCCAAUUCCCCAAAGUCUGAAAGGCACCUACUGACACAGAAAACUGAAGUUUUCAUCAUCACAGUGUUGAGUGUUUCAGCAUUAAUAGUGAACAGUCUUUUGACCUGUGAAAAUAGCUGUCCCAUUUCAUAUGGAAGAAAACCAAACCAGUGAGCCCCUCAGGCUGAAUUCUACACCCAGAUGUUAUGCUCCUCCCUCAGGCUGAAUUCUAAACCGGAUAUUAUGCUCCUCACAAUCUCUCUUCACACUUGAGUUCAUCCUUUAUCCCAAUUUUGUUAACAGAGUUCAGAAGGUUCCUGAAUAUUCAGAAACACCACUUAUGAAACUAGAAUCUAACCGCAAUUAUAGUUUCCAGCAUUAACGUCUAGCAGCUAAGUGCUACGCAUUCUGAAAGAGCUAGACAAUAUUCACUGCCUUGAGCACAGAACAGGGACUGCUGCCCUAAUACUUCUCCUGCUACUGUUUCACUAUUAAGAAGGUUUGAAUAUGUUAGAAAUCACAUAAAUUCCAAAUUUAAACAGAAUGCUGGGAGUGAACCUCAGUCACACAUAACAAACACAAUCUGGAAGGUGCCCACCCUGAGAGGCCAGCUCCAGCCCAUCUGCUCGUGUGCAGCACAUACAGCGUAUAGACUGGGCUCAGAAGAGCAGUCUAGGGAAUGUGGGUGAUCUUCAAACUGAACAUUCUGACCAAACUAAAAUUAUUAAAAUUAUGGCCAAUACCUUUGAAACGUCCAGACCGCAAAUGCUUAUAUGGACCUGUGCCUACCGACAAAGCGGGGAUUCAGGAUCUCAGGACACAGUUCAAAGCAGAAAUCUAAGUAACCGGGUGCGGCCAAAACCAGAAAAGGCACGACGGUUCUCCUCGUGAGCAGCUGCUGCAAAGGUUCAGUCACUCCACAAUUCAACACUUGUGCUGAGGCACGGAAAAAUGGCCAGAUGGGAGUUGUAUUGUGUGACUUGGAAAUAAAGCUCUACAUGUCAUAUUCGAAGUACAAGUUCAGAAUUGUAUUAGUAAAAAUGCUUCAGCAUUUAUGGUAAGAGAAACAAGGCCACAGGCCAGGAGAAUGGACGGAUGACCAGGAGAAAAAAUGCUGGUCUUUUACUCUUUGUUAGCAAUCGUAAAUGUUUACUAAUGUGAGGGGGUGCUCAUCUGCAAAUAUAAAGAAAGGAUUUACCUCCUUUAUGGGUUAGCUCUUUGAGGGCCAGCAGGGAGAAAAAGCACUUAUGUAAAUAAUUCUGGAUGAGAAACAAACCUCCUUUACCAAGCACAGGAAUGAGGCAGAAAGUCACCGGAGUGCAAUCUUUCAGCGAGCGGGGAAGAGCCAGUAAUAAAGCACACAGAGAGUUAACAUCACAGUACAGUAAAAUGCCACAAAACCCAGAAGCUGCAGAGAGAGACAGACAAAACUGGAUUCUUCUGAGUGUGCCCCAAGAGAAAGGAGCGUUUCAACAGUUCUUUUAACGCUGAGGUUUAGCUGAAGGAUGUCGGAAGGGGAACAAAGAUUGUCCUGUCCAAAGUGUAAGCAGGAAAGGAAAACAGAAAAACAAAGUCAGUGGAUCAGAAAUGCAGAUUUGAGUAUAGAAUUCAUAUGAUCAUCUCAGUCAUAUUCACAUAUACACAUCCUGUAACAUUUUUACAUUGAGGAACAAAAAUAAAACGCUGAAAACCCAAACUACAAAGAAUCUUCUCCAUGCUGAGCCUGAUCUUACUACUAAAUAGCAGAAUAAAAUUCGUUUGUUGGUGACUGGUCUGAACAUUAAGAAUACAAUACACAGGCCGGGCGCGGUGUCUAUUUUAACCAAGUCCAGCUCGAGAAUGUGUUCAAAAUGAAGGCAGAGCUGUUAAGGGCCUCAGAGAUCAUCCAAACCCUCCAUUUUACAGAUUGCAAAAUUCAUUAAAUAAAUACAAGAAUGGACUUGACAACAGGGAGACAGACAUCCUUUAACACAUAACAUAACGACUCUGGGACAAAAGAUACUGGACUCAGAUACAAGUUUUUAAUCACCCAUUACAGUUUUUUUGAAUGUAGCAUAUUGAAUAGAAGCAUAAAAAUAAAGCAAAUACCCACAUGCCCAAUGUCAUCAGAGGUUUUUAAUAACUGCCUUGUUCUUCAGUAUUUCACUCAUACUUUAACUUGUACAACACUUUAAAAGUUACACAGAGAAGGGAAAUUAUUUGUCUUUAUCUAUCUUACCUGGGUAUAGAAUCUGACAAAAAUAUUUGUAAUAUUGUUUUCUGUUUUACAUUUUCAAAAGUGGUCAUUAUUACAUUCCCAAUGUUCAAGUCACACAGAGCAAAGUGGGGAUGUUUAAGUAAAGGCCAGAAUGACCUGGAGACCAGGAGAAAAAGGAAGACGAGGAGGUAGAAGUUUCUUCUCUUCCUCUGGCAGAGGGACCUCAGAAGGCUAGUUUGAACCUACGAGUUUGUGCGUUUAUUCAUUUUCUUUCACUUUGUUCUAGACAGAUGACUAAUUUUUCAGCAGAAGUAGCAGCUUGCUAGGAAGCCGUGUAAAACUGGCAGUGGUUGUGGUGGGGACGUGGGUGGGAGGUGGAAGGGGAGAAGGAAGGGGCAGCCUAUGGGAACGUCCAUUUCCUCUUUCUGGUGACGGAGAAGGAGGGAGGAUGCAUCAAAACCUCAGCCUAACCACUCUGGAAAAAGACCCAGUCUUUUAAAACUGUAUUUUUUUUUUCUUCGUACUUGCCUUCCAACAGCACAGCUCUGGUAGGAACAGGGGCAGGCUGGCCCAUAACAAACAUGGUCAACCACUGCAUGCAAAUACCAACUUAAAUGUGUAUUUUAAGGCACACUGUUUUGUACUUUGUUGGCUGAUGGUGGGAACAUCCUGAAAUAAUUCCAAGGUACGGACUUUAAAUCUCAGAGACCCUCAGAGGAUGCUUCCGAAAGCCCCGCGGACAGGCUUAGACCUUUCAACAGGUUUUGACAUCUGGUAAGUCAACAUGACUUGCUUGAGUGGGGCCAUUUUCAGCACUCUCCUGUCUAUUUUGCAUUUCCCAUUCUCUGCACCAACCCAUGCCAUACUCUCUUUGUUUAAAGACACUGUGGCAGGGAACUAGAGCAGACACUGGAUGUUUGUGUAGCAAGAACCUCUUUAGGAAGCAGAAGGGAAGAACUGGAGGCUAAUGUGCACUAUUAGAAUAAACUUGUUUAAAAGAAUGUAUGUUAUUUCUUCAGAAACCAUAUUCAGUGCUCUCAAAAUAUUUAAAAAGGUCUGUUCUAAAAGAUGACCCUUUAUAAAACAACAUAAUAUAAAAACGAAAAUUUUGCUUUCAAUUUGUCCAUAGGAAUCAAAAAGGUGUUUGCUAACUACCACUUUAUGUAAAUUUCCAUUCUUGUAUAAUUCAGUUAAAAAAAAAACAGCAAAAGAAAAAAGUAAAAAAUAAAUAAUAGAAUGAUGAUCUACUUUCAUAAGAGAAAAACAAUCCUGGGAAUCCUGCUGGCUGACACAGAUGAUCUGUGGAGCUGGGCGCUCUCUCUUUCACUUUGUAACAUGUGAUGCUGUGGCCUAGUCAACUCCUGGCUAGUUAGAAAGAGGUGCGGUGAACUGGGUAAAGAGAAUCACUGUCAUGGGUGCGGUGAGUUGGGUAAAGAGAAUCACUGCCAUGGGUGCGGUGAGUUGGGUAAAGAGAAUCACUGCCAUGGGUGCGGUGAGUUGGGUAAAGAGAAUCACUGCCAUGGGUGCGGUGAGUUGGGUAAAGAGAAUCACUGCCAUGGGUGCGGUGAACUGGGUAAAGAGAAUCACUGCCAUGGGUGCGGUGAGUUGGGUAAAGAGAAUCACUGCCAUGGGUGCGGUGAGUUGGGUAAAGAGAAUCACUGCCAUGGGUGCGGUGAACUGGGUAAAGAGAAUCACUGCCAUGGGUGCGGUGAGUUGGGUAAAGAGAAUCACUGCCAUGGGUGCGGUGAGUUGGGUAAAGAGAAUCACUGCCAUGGGUGCGGUGAACUGGGUAAAGAGAAUCACUGCCAUGGGUGCGGUGAGUUGGGUAAAGAGAAUCACUGCCAUGGGUGCGGUGAGUUGGGUAAAGAGAAUCACUGCCAUGGGUGCGGUGAGUUGGGUAAAGAGAAUCACUGCCAUGGGUGCGGUGAGUUGGGUAAAGAGAAUCACUGCCAUGGGUGCGGUGAGUUGGGUAAAGAGAAUCACUGCCAUGGGUGCGGUGAGUUGGGUAAAGAGAAUCACUGCCAUGGGUGCGGUGAGUUGGGUAAAGAGAAUCACUGCCAUGGGUGCGGUGAGUUGGGUAAAGAGAAUCACUGUCAUGGGUGCGGUGAGUUGGGUAAAGAGAAUCACUGCCAUGGGUGCGGUGAGUUGGGUAAAGAGAAUCACUGUCAUGGAAGCUACAGGAACAGGAACCAAACUCUGAGAGCAAUGGUGGAGCUGUUGAUGAGCCCCAGGGCCACCCCUGAGUUACUGAUACCUAAUUAGAAGGUGAUAGAGAAGAAUCAUGUUUUCCUCCUUGCAGGCUAUAGACAAAAUAUGUUAACAAGACUUGUAAUGGUCGUGGUUAAUGAAAAAGUAUCACAUGGCACCAAGUCAUUUA
rnacentral:lncRNA from 1 species